GCGCAGCAGGCGCGAAACUUCACACUGUGCGAAAGCACGAUGAGGGAAUCCCAAGUGCUUGCACGUAAGUGUAAGCUGUUUCUCUGUUUAAACGCAGAGAGAGUAAGGGCUGGGUAAGACGGGUGCCAGCCGCCGCGGUAAUACCUGCAGCUCAAGUGGUGACCGUUAUUAUUGGGCCUAAAACGUCCGUAGCCGGUUUAAUAAAUGCCUGGGUAAAUCGUGUAGCUUAACUAUACGAAUUCCGGGUAGACUGUUAAACUCGAGACCGGGAGAAGUUAGAGGUACUCCUGGGGUAGAGGUGAAAUUCUGUAAUCCUAGGGGGACCACCAGUGGUGAAGGCGUCUAACUAGAACGGGUCUGACGGUGAGGGACGAAGCCCUGGGGCGCAAACGGGAUUAGAACCCCUGUAGU
rnacentral:rRNA from 1 species